GAACUUUGUCAAGUGUCAUAUUGUUCCCUGUAUAACUCUAAAUGGCAUUUUCUUGGAGAAAUUUAUCAUGGGGAUGCUCACAAAUUUUGGAAGCAUGGCAUUAGAUCGAAUGCAUAAUACUCUCAAGAUGUUUUGUGUAGCUGAUCCCCCUUAUGAUAAAUCACUCCAACAGCUUCAGAGCUUCUAAUCUAGUCUAGUAUCUGAAGAUAAGAGAUGGAAUGUACUUUCUGAAGAAAUAAUGAGUUGAUAGAAUUUCAACUCAUCCUCUGAAUCAUUAAGCAAUAGCACUGGUGAGACUUUUUUCAGAUUUAAAUGAAACAACAGUUGGAAAUAAUGCUUUCCUGUUCUCUUCAUUGCAUGAGGUAUCGCAGAAUUGAUGCCCAGAUACUCUUCCCGCAUUUUGGGAAUGUCUACAGGCAGCUUUGCCAAAAUUGCAGGGAGUUUUUUCAUUCUGUAUAUAGCCUUGAGAAAUGGUCGAUCUUUGUGGCAGGAGUGUCGCAAUCAUCCUGUUUGUUGAUUCUAGUUGGAGUGUCUCUGGGAUGUUUUCCAGUGGAUUUGUGGAGAGCGACUUUGGCCAUACUUGAGAAAAUCACUCUUCAGCUCUACAUGGAAAACAGCAUUCUGGUUUAUGCAUGCUCAUGGAUGUGGGGUUCUGGACAGCGUUUAAAAUUGCAGGAAGUCAGAAGAUCCUAAAGAGUGGUACUUAACAUGUUCCUGUGAUGAUUAAUUACUAAAUUUAUGAUGAUUUGUACUUUUGAUAGUUUAAAUACAUCAGAAAUGCUGCGUACACUCUUACAUGGUAAGAGUGAAUUUUAAGAUGCCCCCAA